GAAAUGCGAUACGUAAUGCGAAUUGCAGAAUUCAGUGAAUCAUCAAAUCUUUGAACGCAAAUUGCACUCUCGGGUGUUCCCGGGAGUACGCUUCUUUCAGUAUCGGUUCUAUCUAAACUCGACUGCGUUUUAAAUUUAUUUAGAGCGCGUGUCGGAUAUUGAGCGUCACAGUUUCCCUUCCGAAGGCUGUGUUGCUUGAAAGAUAGAGAGGCUCCUCUCACACUAUCGGUCUUCACUUUAUGGUUUUACUUCACUUCUUCUUUCUUCUUUGAAGAAAGGGGCUGGAGCAAUCUAAGUGACGUGGUUAAGUUCGCCUCUGUGCGACU
rnacentral:misc_RNA from 1 species